AUCCCAUCACAAGCGCCAGUGCCUGCCCUCCGGCAGGACAACGAGGAGGAGAGAGGAUCGAGCGUUUCGGCGGAAGCUCUCCCGUGCCGCUUCGGGUGCGUGACGCAGCCGGUAAAUAUGCGGGUGACCGCAAAACAGAGAGGCUGUGACCGGAGUGG
rnacentral:ncRNA from 2 species